CAAUGGCCAGGCAGGACAGGCUGCAGGGCAGGGACGGUCUCCGAGACCCCCGGGGCUUUGCUGCAGCCAGUCUCCUCCCCGGGGUCUCCCCCAGGGACUGAGGGAGGAUUCAGGUUCAGGGACGUGAGCGCGAGGCCGGAGGAGCCUCUUCGGAGUUUCCCCCUGUCCCACGACUGAUGUAGCCUGAACACAGACGUCCCUGCUGAGACGCUCAGAGCCUCAGAGCGGCUUGGAACCUGCGCAGCCUGAGCCAUCUGGUGCCGGCCAAAUUCUAGGCCUGGGAAACGCUAGGUGAAGGGUAACAAUCCUCUCAGACCUUUGGGGAGGUGUGACGAUCCGUUUGAGUGUCACUCGUAGCCGGGUAUAAUAUGAGGUGUCCUAUCAUGGGCUCUAAAUGAACUGUAUCCAUUAAGGACGGGACCGUGGCGUCGUUGCAGACUGAGCAGUGGGCAGCAGUGGCUGGAAAAGCAAAGGAGAUGCUGGGAUGCGCACGAAUGCACAGGCGCAGGAACUAGGGGUGCAGCUGCACCCCCGGGGUUCACUGUGAAAAGUUUGCUGGUGCUGCUAGGAGGAAGCUGGCGUUAUUCUGUGACUCCUGGAGCUGUGCUGCUCCUGUGUGGUGUGAGCGGGAAUUGCACUGUCUGACAUUCCUUUUGGACACGCACACGGUUUACAGUUUCCUUAGCUGCCUUUCAGCCCCCCACUAUAAAAAGUGUUCCAGGGCCACUGCCAGAAUGGGAUGGAGAAUAUCACCGAAAGCAAACACAAGGCCUUAGCUGCUCCGCCUCCCCCGGGUGCCGUCUGCAGGGCUAGUCGGCCCCUCUCAGACAGGACAUUGCAGAACUGGCGGUGAGUGACCAAGGGCCUGGAAACACGCUCCUAGGAGCGGAGAUUGAAAGGACGGGAUUGUGACAUUCGAAAGGAGGUGAAUAAGAGGGGGCGAGGCAGACGUCUAGAAUACACUGAAUGGUACA